GCAAUGCGGGUGCUAUAAUGCAGUCGACGCUUCUUUUUCCACCGGAGCUUGCUCCACCGGAAAAAGAGGAGUGGCGAACGGGUGAGUAACACGUGGGUAACCUGCCCAUCAGAAGGGGAUAACACUUGGAAACAGGUGCUAAUACCGUAUAACAAUCGAAACCGCAUGGUUUUGAUUUGAAAGGCGCUUUCGGGUGUCGCUGAUGGAUGGACCCGCGGUGCAUUAGCUAGUUGGUGAGGUAACGGCUCACCAAGGCGACGAUGCAUAGCCGACCUGAGAGGGUGAUCGGCCACAUUGGGACUGAGACACGGCCCAAACUCCUACGGGAGGCAGCAGUAGGGAAUCUUCGGCAAUGGACGAAAGUCUGACCGAGCAACGGCSGCGUGGAGGUGAAAGAAGGUUUUCGGAUCGUAAAACUCUGUUGUUAGAAGAAGAACAAGGGAUGAGAGUAACUGUUCAUCCCUUGACGGUAUCUAACCAGAAAGCCACGGCUAACUACGUGCCAGCAGCCGCGGUAAUACGUAGGUGGCAAGCGUUGUCCGGGAUUUAUUGGGCGUAAAGCGAGCGCAGGCGGUUUCUUAAGUCUGAUGUGAAAGCCCCCGGCUCAACCGGGGAGGGUCAUUGGAAACUGGGAGACUUGAGUGCAGAAGAGGAGAGUGGAAUUCCAUGUGUAGCGGUGAAAUGCGUAGAUAUAUGGAGGAACACCAGUGGCGAAGGCGGCUCUCUGGUCUGUAACUGACGCUGAGGCUCGAAAGCGUGGGGAGCAAACAGGAUUAGAUACCCUGGUAGUCCACGCCGUAAACGAUGAGUGCUAAGUGUUGGAGGGUUUCCGCCCUUCAGUGCUGCAGCUAACGCAUUAAGCACUCCGCCUGGGGAGUACGACCGCAAGGUUGAAACUCAAAGGAAUUGACGGGGGCCCGCACAAGCGGUGGAGCAUGUGGUUUAAUUCGAAGCAACGCGAAGAACCUUACCAGGUCUUGACAUCCUUUGACCACUCUAGAGAUAGAGCUUCCCCUUCGGGGGCAAAGUGACAGGUGGUGCAUGGGUUGUCGUCAGCUCGUGUCGUGAGAUGUUGGGUUAAGUUCGCAACGAGCGCAACCCUUAUUGUUAGUUGCCAUCAUUUAGUUGGGCACUCUAGCAAGACUGCCGGUGACAAACCGGAGGAAGGUGGGGAUGACGUCAAAUCAUCAUGCCCCUUAUGACCUGGGCUACACACGUGCUACAAUGGGAAGUACAACGAGUCGCAAAGUCGCGAGGCUAAGCUAAUCUCUUAAAGCUUCUCUCAGUUCGGAUUGUAGGCUGCAACUCGCCUACAUGAAGCCGGAAUCGCUAGUAAUCGCGGAUCAGCACGCCGCGGUGAAUACGUUCCCGGGCCUUGUACACACCGCCCGUCACACCACGAGAGUUUGUAACACCCGAAGUCGGUGAGGUAACCUUUGGAGCCAGCCGCGUAAGGUGAUAAGU
rnacentral:rRNA from 1 species